rnacentral:rRNA from 1 species
GCCUAACACAUGCAAGUCGAACGGAGUCAAGAAGCUUGCUUUUGACUUAGUGGCGGACGGGUGAGUAACGCGUGAGUAACCUGCCUCUGAGAGGGGAAUAACGUUCUGAAAAGAACGCUAAUACCGCAUAACGUAUCGAAGCCGCAUGACUUUGAUACCAAAGAUUUUAUCGCUCGGAGAUGGACUCGCGUCCGAUUAGUUAGUUGGUGAGGUAACGGCUCACCAAGACCGCGAUCGGUAGCCGGACUGAGAGGUUGAUCGGCCACAUUGGGACUGAGACACGGCCCAGACUCCUACGGGAGGCAGCAGUGGGGGAUAUUGCGCAAUGGGGGCAACCCUGACGCAAGCAACGCCGCGUGAAGGAUGAAGGUUUUCGGAUUGUAAACUUCUUUUAUCAGGGACGAAGCUUGACGGUACCUGAUGAAUAAGCUCCGGCUAACUACGUGCCAGCAGCAGC